GUAGGUGGCAAGCGUUGUCCGGAAUUAUUGGGCGUAAAGCGCGCGCAGCGGUUCUUUAAGUCUGAUGUGAAAGCCCACGGGCUCAACCGUGGAGGGUCAUUGGAAACUGGAGAACUUGAGUACAGAAGAGGAAAGCGGAAUUCCACGUGUAGCGGUGAAAUGCGUAGAGAUGUGGAGGAACACCAGUGGCGAAGGCGGCUUUCUGGUCUGUAACUGACGCUGAGGCGCGAAAGCGUGGGGAGCAAACAGGAUUAGAUACCCUGGUAGUCCACGCCGUAAACGAUGAGUGCUAAGUGUUAGGGGGUUUCCGCCCCUUAGUGCUGCAGCUAACGCAUUAAGCACUCCGCCUGGGGAGUACGGCCGCAAAGGCUG
rnacentral:rRNA from 1 species